rnacentral:snRNA from 1 species
GUGCUUGUUUUGGCAGCACACUGAAACAAUAUAGAGAAGAUCAGCAUGAUCCCUGUACAUGGAUGACACACAAAUUUGUGAGGUGUUGUAUAUUUCU